rnacentral:lncRNA from 1 species
UCUCUUCAUCUCCAAAAGUCUCUCUAGCCUCCCCAAAACCCUAGCUAUCUCCUACCUCAUUCUACCAUGAUUUCACCGGAAUUCAUGGCGUUUCAGGUCAUGGGUGGCUUAUGCUCACUCUCUCUCACCAUUAAAUCUAUCUACUCGAUGUUUGGAAGCCAGCUUCGAUGGCUCCUUUAGAUUCUUCUCAUAUCUGUAGUUCUAUGGCUUCUCCGAUCAUUUUCCGGCAUGUUUAAGCAAU